CCUGAUCUGAGGAGGAAGGUGGGAGGAGGCUUCAUGUGAUGAUUGCUGACUCCACUCCUUUGUCUGAUCCUGCUCUUUCUCCACCAGCUUUGACUCCACAGCAGCUCUCCAAUGCUGGGCAAAGACUCCUGAAAGGAGAUGGAAUUUAUGCUGAAACACCUGGCAGCAAGCUGCCCUGCAUGCAGGGGACAGCAUGAGGAUGGAGUCCAGCUGGAAUUGAUCUGCAGUGUGUGUGAGCAAUGAUCCCACCAGCCCGGCAGGAUUUGGGGUGGGAAGAGGCAAGGUUAAACCCUCUGGCUACACCUCCACAUCCAGAGAUGGAAAAGCUGCUGGUGGAUCUGCCUAGUGGUGUAGAGAGAAAUGGAGCACCAGGCUUAGAACACCUGGUAAUAAAGUGGAAUGAUUCUGUUGCAGAAGUGGAAUAAGUCGCUCAGGUUGGAUGUGAACAAGCUAUUUAGCUCCUGCAGACCAUUAAGUAUCCUUAAAAUGUAAGUUCCCCAAUUUACAGAGAUGUUGAGGUGCUCUGGAAGUGGUUUCUGCCUUCUGAAGUGCCUCAGUUUAAAGUGAGCAGACCCUUGAAUGGCUUCUCCCUGUCUCAUACAAGGAAUUUCUUUUCCAUCUUGAAUGGGCUACGUUUCCUGAAAGAAGAGCUUGUGAGAGUAAUGAACUCUGGAAACUGCUUAUCUGCCUUUUGAAAUAAAAAUGCUUUUGGCCUGGAAGCCAAAUGAUAUCUUGCACUUAGCAAAAAUAACUAAAACAUUCUCCAUCUCACGUGUCAUCUGCUCACAAAACUGCUCUUGGUCCACCUACAAAGCUGGAAUUGUUUACUGUGUGACUGACAGGGUUUAGUUGGUAUCAGUUUCUGGAGGGCAAUAUAGUGAAUUAAAUCUUGCAAAGUGAGCUCAGGAGUCUUUGCUUUGGAUGAGCCCAUUUUCCCUUCAUCCAGUCCAAGUGAAACAGUGCUGUUAUUUCCCUAGGAUGUAGCCUAAUAGGAUAAGGGAUCCUGUUACCCAGUGCUGGCAGUCUGUCACUGCCUUCAUCCUCCAGUGUGCUUGGAAAAGUGGAUAAUUUUGCCUGCCAGCCUGGGAACAAUUUGUCUAUCACAGUGCCAGGGAGGGAAGACCUCCAGAACCCCGUCCCACCUCGCUGUCAGUGACGUGCUGGACAGUCACCCCUCCAUGGUGACAGAGCCACUGUGACCCCCACAGGGUCACGAGC